GCCUGCUUAGCAUAGUGGCUAAUGCGUUGCACUUGUAUCCAUCGACGACAUGCAAAGAUCACAGGUUCGAUUCCUGUAGUAGGCA
rfam:Chaetomium globosum CBS 148.51 scaffold_5 genomic scaffold, whole genome shotgun sequence.